UUCCUCAGGAAGACCUUACAACCAUUUCUCCUCUUCUAUCUGCACAGUGAGAGUAAGAAUGCUUGUUCUACAUAACUGGAAGCUCAAAGGAGAUGGUAGAUAUGAAGGUGCUUCGAGAAGUGAAAUGUCUUUGCAGUAAAAUUAUACAUGUAUGGAGCCUUUUGAAAAAAACCUGUGUCCCCAAUGGCACUCCUAGUGACCCUCAAAUGGACCCUAAUGCCAUCCUUUGAGAUGAAAGAGGGACUCCCAAAAACUGACCCUCUCUCAACUCUUGCCUAGCUCCUGGCACAAGUAAAUAGCUAAGUGCAUGUUUAUGUUUUAUCACAGAGUGAGGGGCAUUUGGGGCGAAAACCAUAUAUUUGAAGCAAUUCAGAAACUCAUCUUAGGCAAUUUGCCAGAGAGUUAAAACAUUAAACGAUUCCUUCUAGGUGCUCCAUAUCAUCACUUACUGUUUUAGCAAUGAAGUCGAUGGAGGAUUGCAAGGCUCCCUCUGCUCCUAUCCCCCACUUGCUCAUUCUCUCUUUCAAAAUAAAUGAAAUAAACUUUUAAAAAA